AGAGAUGAGAAGUGAGAGUUGUGUGGAGGUAAGAAGAAGAGGAUGAGAAGCCGAGAGUUAUAGAGAGGGUGGGUUGUAGAGGUGGGUUAGUGAGAAGUUGAGAGUUGUAUGGAGAUGAUAAGAAGAGGAUGAGAAGGUGAGAGUUAUAUAGAGGGUGAGUUGCAGCGUGAACAAGUAGCUCAGCAUUCAGUCAAGCUACCCGCUUUAUAGAUUGUCCCUUCGAGUCAUCAACUCUCUCCAGAUAUAUUUAAAUAUACAUAUAUCUCUUCAUUGAAUUAUAAGUAACUACCCUUAGGUUUUGUACGUAUAUGAUGAUUUGAAUAACCACACAACUACAAUAGCUAAAAGUUUAAUGAAAAAAUUCGUCAAUCCUGAAUUUUGUAUGUACCGCAUCUACUAAUCAUCUUAUUAUUUUUUUAUGUACGGUGUGUAUAUAUAUAUUGAAAAUGAUAAUGAGCAAAAAAUAACACGGGGAUAGUUUAUAGUUUUGAAAGUUGAGUUAUUCUAGUGAUGAUUAUUGGGGAUGCCGAAUACGACACAAAACUUGCAUGUCGCAAGGCAAUGUGGCUAGGCACGGUAGUGCCGAAGGUGAAGGGGAUGCUGAAGGAACAAAACUUGCAUGUUGCAAGGUGAUGUGGCUAGGCACGGGGGUGCCGAAGGCACAAAGCUUGCAUGUUGCAAGGCGAUGUGGUUAGGCACAGGAGUGCCGAAGGCAAAUGAGGUGUCGAAGGUGACACAAAGUUUGCAUGUCACAAGGUGAUGUGGCUAGGCACGGGGUGCCGAAGGCAAAGGGGAUGCCAAAGGUGACACAAAGCUUGCAUGUCACAAGGCAAUGUGGUCAGGCAAGGGAUGUCAAAGGCGACACAAAGCUUCUGGAGCCGCUUAUGAGCCUUCAUCUCUUCGGCAUGGGUCUUGCCUUUCGGCAAGGGGGUCAGUACUGGCUUAGGAUGGGCUUAGGCCAGGCUAGGCAUGAAGGUACCGAAGGUGAAAGGAGGUUUGCAUUUGGAAUACUAGGCCAACCCUAGACUGAGACUCUUCAAAGUGAUUGAAAGGAGGGUUGCUUUAGUAGAUAUACGUCUUCGGCAUAUUGGUUCCUUGAAACCCCAUGGUGGCUUAGGCAUAUAUGGUGCUAAAUGAUAAGCUAAAAGGAGAUUAUUGAAAGGAUGCUGAAAGGCACUGAAGGAAAGAGAAUCGACAAAGGCUUCUUGUACCGGUUUCCAUAGACAGCGCCAAACUGUUGAUGCUCUUUUUGGGAGGUCAACUUAGAUAGAUGUGAAAUGGUGGAUGAUGUGUGAAGACGUGGGUCUUCAGCAUGUGCAAGUGCCUUCGGCAGGUUGUUACCUUCGGCUAGGUAAGUAAAGUAAAUAAGCAUGCAAAAGACAAGGUAUACAUGAUUCACCCGAAUAAUGGGCUACGUCCAUGAAAAAGGAUGCUCUCAUUAUGAUAAUGUUUGUUUACAUUUGAACUAGAGGAUUAGACUCAAAGAUAAAGGGAAAAAGGCCUAGGGCCUAAGGUACAAAGCUAAGAAUCAAAGGCCUAGGGGUUAAGUCCUAAGAUCCGGAGACCAGAGGACCAGAAGGGAGUCCAGAAGAGCGUGCCAGUCCCUUUCUAAGGAAAGAGUAGUAUUCUGUUAUAGGUAAAGGGGAGUCUUCAUCUCUUGUAGUUUUUCGAUGUGGGACUUGUGCAACUUGCUCUGGUGGUAACACGUGUCUCUGAAGAUUAGGUUGAGGGAGAAGUGAAGAAGAGAUGAGAAGUGAGAGUUGUGUGGAGGUAAGAAGAAGAGGAUGAGAAGCCGAGAGGGUGAGUUGCAGAGGUGGGUUAAUGAGAAGUUGAGAGUUAGAGGUGAGUAGAAGAGGAUGAGAAUGUGAGACUUUAUAGUGAGUUGCAGCGUGGACAAGUGGCUCAGCGUGAACAAAUUUAAUCUGUUUCUACUGUCUAGUUUAGAAUAACUCCAACCCACGUUGAAAAAUAUCAGGAAAAAUGUUUAUUACCUUUUUGCCCUUCCC
rnacentral:lncRNA from 1 species